GCAACCUUCCAGCCGUACGAGUCGCUCGUGGCUCGAAUAUCCUGUUUUUCGCCGAAUUUCUGCGACACCGGGAUUCCCGGAAUAAUCAUUCAAUAGCGGAUAUGGAGUUUGCGGGGAACGACGAAAACCACUUCGAAAUCAUCGUGUGUUUGCAGACGGAAUCUGACGAGAAGGGAAGUCGCCAAAGCUAAUCAAAGGAGCAUGAUGAAGCGGAGGAAGCGUAUGUCAGCCUCUCGCCUGACGCGAGAUAAUAAACCGAAUCGAUCCCCCCUGCACGAAAGUCGCAAGAAAACUCUAGCGCGGGGCGGAAACUCGUGAUUUCUGACUUCACGUGCUGCUUUCCUCAUCGCUCUCACGCGUCCGGCAAUCUGUACCUUACGGAGGGUUACCUUCCCGCAGUCAUCUUUUCGAAAAACGCACGACUACUCCAAUUGCACUCUCACCGUGCGCAACAGAGGGUACUGCAGAGAAUAUUUCGCUAAUCGGCCCGCUGUUUUUUAACGACAGAGUUUUCGACGGAUUUUUCUCACGGAAAAUUAAUUCUUCAAAAACAGGCAAGAUCCAUGUUUCUUUACCUUUGUAAGCGAUUCUUCAGAAAUCGCUAAUUAAU